UGGGGAAUAUUGGACAAUGGGCGAAAGCCUGAUCCAGCCAUGCCGCAUGAGUGAAGAAGGCCUUUGGGUUGUAAAGCUCUUUUAGUGAGGAAGAUAAUGACGGUACUCACAGAAGAAGUCCUGGCUAACUCCGUGCCAGCAGCCGCGGUAAUACGGAGAGGGCUAGCGUUAUUCGGAAUUAUUGGGCGUAAAGGGCGCUUAGGCUGGUUAAUAAGUUAAAAGUGAAAUCCCGAGGCUUAACCUUGGAAUUGCUUUUAAAACUAUUAAUCUAGAGAUUGAAAGAGGAUAGAGGAAUUCCUGAUGUAGAGGUAAAAUUCGUAAAUAUUAGGAGGAACACCGGUGGCGAAGGCGUCUAUCUGGUUCAAAUCUGACGCUGAAGCGCGAAGGCGUGGGGAGCAAACA
rnacentral:rRNA from 1 species